rnacentral:rRNA from 1 species
AUGAUGGCUCAAGAUAAUACCAAAUUGUGUGACUUUACCAAUACCAACAAUAAUGAUUUCCUUAGCACUCUGAUUGCUCCUCUUACCGUUACUGAAUCUUGUGAAAUCAAUGCUGCUUUGUUGAAUCUUGUCAUGAAAGAUCAAUUCGCCGGCCUUCCUAGUGAAGAUGCCGCUACUCAUCUAAAUAGCUUCGUUGAUUUGUGUGAUAUGCAAAAGAAUAAAGAUAAUGAUAAUGAUAUUGUUAAAUUGAACCUAUUUCCUUUUUCGCUUAGAGAUCGUGCUAAAGCUUGGUUUUCGUCUUUGCCUAAAAAUAGUAUUGAUUCUUGGAACAAGUGCAAAGAUGCUUUUAUCUCUAAGUCUUUUCCUCCCGCUAAGAUCAUCUUUCUUAGAAACGAUAUUAUGAAUUUUAAGCAACUUGAUCAUGAACAUGUUGCACAAGCUUGGGAGACGAUGAAAUUAAUGAUACGUAAUUGCCCUACUCAUGGUUUGAAUUUGUGGAUGAUUAUACAAAAAUUUUAUGCCGGAUUGAAUUUUGCUUCUAGAAAUCUUUUAGAUUCGGCCACGGGAGGCACUUUUAUGGAAAUCACUUUAGGAGAAGCUACUAAACUCCUAGAUAAUAUUAUGGUUAAUUAUUCUCAAUGGCACACUGAAAGAUCUACUAAUAAAAAAGUGCAUGCGGUAGAAGAAAUUAAUGUUUUGAGUGGAAAGAUGGAUGAACUUAUGAAAUUAUUUGCUACUAAGAGUGUUUCUUCUGAUCCUGAUAUGCCUUUGUCUACUUUGAUUGAGAAUAAUAAUGAAUCUAUGGAUGUGAAUUUUGUUGGUAGGAAUAAUUUUGGUAACAACGCGUAUAGAGGAAACUUUAAUCCUAGGCCUUAUCCUAGUAAUUCCUCUAAUAAUUAUGGAAAUUCCUACAACAACUCUUAUGGAAAUUUUAAUAAGAUGCCCUCUGAAUUUGAGACUAGUGUUAAAGAGUUUAUGAAUUCACAAAAGAAUUUCAAUGCUUUGCUUGAAGAGCAAUUGCUUAAAGUUGAUGAAUUGGCUAGGAACGUUGAUAGAAUUUCUCUUGAUGUUGAUUCUUUAAAGCUUAGAUCUAUUCCUCCUAAGCAUGAUAUCAUUGAGUCUCUCAAAGCCAUGAGAAUUUCCAUUGAUGAGUGCAAAGAAAGAACUGCUAGGAUGCGUGCUAAGAAAGAUUGCUUUAUAAAAACGUGUUCUUCAAAUUUCUAUGAAAAUAAAGAUGAAGAUCUAAAAGGUAUUGAUGUGUCCCCUAUUAAAUCUUUGUCUUGCAAUAUGAAUCUUGAUAAUGAUGCGACUGAAUAUGAUCCACCUUUACCUAGAAGGCGUUCCAAAAAUUUGGAGUUUUUAGAUCUUGAUGCUAAAAUUGAUAAAAGUGGGAUUGAAGAAACCAAAACCCUAGUGUUAAUAAACCCACUAUUUUGGAUUUCAAGGAAUUUAAUUAUGAAAAUUGUUCUUCGAUUGAUUGUAUUUCCUUGUUGCAAUCCGUGCUAA